UACGAAGGGGGCUAGCGUUGCUCGGAAUCACUGGGCGUAAAGCGCACGUAGGCGGCUUCUUAAGUCAGGGGUGAAAUCCUGGAGCUCAACUCCAGAACUGCCUUUGAUACUGGGAGACUUCGAGUCCGGGAGAGGUGAGUGGAACUGCGAGUGUAGAGGUGAAAUUCGUAGAUAUUCGCAAGAACACCAGUGGCGAAGGCGGCUCACUGGCCCGGUACUGACGCUGAGGUGCGAAAGCGUGGGGAGCAAACAGG
rnacentral:rRNA from 1 species